rnacentral:rRNA from 1 species
UACGUAGGGCGCAAGCGUUGUCCGGAAUUAUUGGGCGUAAAGAGCUCGUAGGCGGUUUGUCGCGUCUGCUGUGAAAACCUAAGGCUCAACCUUGGGCUUGCAGUGGGUACGGGCAGACUAGAGUGCGGUAGGGGUGACUGGAAUUCCUGGUGUAGCGGUGGAAUGCGCAGAUAUCAGGAGGAACACCGGUGGCGAAGGCGGGUCUCUGGGCAGUAACUGACGCUGAGAAGCGAAAGCAUGGGGAGCGAACAGG